AUCUGUCACCCCAGUAAUCCCCAGGGUUGAUUGGGCUGAUCUGACUGUCCAGAUGGGU
rnacentral:sRNA from 1 species